CCUACGGGAGGCAGCAGUGAGGAAUAUUGGUCAAUGGACGAGAGUCUGAACCAGCCAAGUAGCGUGAGGGAUGACUGCCCUAUGGGUUGUAAACUUCUUUUAUAUGGGAAUAAAAUGUUCCACGUGUGGGAUUUUGUAUGUACCAUAUGAAUAAGGAUCGGCUAACUCCGUGCCAGCAGCCGCGGUAAUACGGAGGAUCCGAGCGUUAUCCGGAUUUAUUGGGUUUAAAGGGAGCGUAGGUGGAUUGUUAAGUCAGUUGUGAAAGUUUGCGGCUCAACCGUAAAAUUGCAGUUGAAACUGGCAGUCUGGAGUACAGUAGAGGUGGGCGGAAUUCGUGGUGUAGCGGUGAAAUGCUUAGAUAUCACGAAGAACUCCGAUUGCGAAGGCAGCUCACUGGACUGUAACUGACACUGAGGCUCGAAAGCGUGGGUAUCAAACAGGAUUAGAUACCCUAGUAGUC
rnacentral:rRNA from 1 species